rnacentral:rRNA from 1 species
AUGAAGCCUGUCUUUGGUAAUGAUUACAAGUUCACGGAUGAGGACAUAGAGACAGCCGUUUACAUCCGCGGAACAUAUGACCCUGUUGAAAUAGUUAGAAUCGGAGACAUUACCCUCACAGCAGAAAAUGUGAAGCGAAAUUUGGACGACAAAUACAUAUAUGGUGAUGUUAUUAUGGCAUAUGCUCGCAUUAGCCAAAUUGAGAAUGAUACUACCUCAAUCAUAUCCCCUCAAGAAACCGAAAAGCUGUUACAAAUGAAGGGGGUGGUUCCUGUUGGACGUGCAACCUCAUGGUUAGCUCGUGUAGCAGAAAAAUUUGUAGGGCGCCGAAAGGUGCAUGUCCCACUGAAUGCACACCAAAACCAUUGGAUGGUAAUAAUGUUUAAUUUUGACAAAAAAGAAAUCCAGACUCUGAACUCUAUGAAUUAUCAUUGCGACAAGACCAAGGAAGAUUCACUUUGCUGCAUCAACGAAGCUGUCAAGAAUGGGUUGAUAUCACCAGCUAAGAACAUCAAUUUUGCCGAAUGGACCAAAAAACUCUAUGAGAACAUACCACAACAGACCGAUGGGACUUCCUGUGCGGUUUGGACACUGCAGUACAUGUUGUCAUGGAACGGGGAUGAAAUGACCGAUAUUUUUAACCAGAAGGAGGUGUACGAUGCCCAGCAAGCAGUUCUACCUGAUGGUUCAGAAGACGACGUACAAUUAGUCAACAAUCCUGAUGGUUUCAACGAACCCGACACAUCCAACUCCCAGAAGGAUACCAGUGCACCCAACUCCCCCAAAAGUGGUGCACCCAACUCCCCGAAAAGGAAGAGAGCACGUGGACGC